rnacentral:rRNA from 1 species
UACGAAGGGGGCUAGCGUUGUUCGGAUUUACUGGGCGUAAAGCGCACGUAGGCGGAUUGGUCAGUUAGGGGUGAAAUCCUGGAGCUCAACUCAAGAAAUGCAUUCAGGACUGGGAGACUAGAGGACCGGAGAGGAUAGUGGAAUUCCCAGUGUAGUGGUGAAAUACGUAGAGAUUGGGAAGAACACCAGUGGCGAAGGCGGCUAUCUGGACGGUUUCUGACACUAAGACUCGAAAGCGUGGGGAGCAAACAGG